GACGAACGCUGGCGGCGUGCCUAAUACAUGCAAGUCGAGCGGACUGAUUAAGAGCUUGCUCUUAUGACGUUAGCGGCGGACGGGUGAGUAACACGUGGGCAACCUGCCCUGUAGAUCGGGAUAACACCGAGAAAUCGGUGCUAAUACCGGGUAAUAUCUGAGAUCACAUGAUCUUAGGUUAAAAGAUGUCUCCGGCUAUCACUACAGGAUGGGCCCGCGGCGCAUUAGCUAGUUGGUAAGGUAAUGGCUUACCAAGGCGACGAUGCGUAGCCGACCUGAGAGGGUGAUCGGCCACACUGGGACUGAGACACGGCCCAGACUCCUACGGGAGGCAGCAGUAGGGAAUCUUCCGCAAUGAACGAAAGUCUGACGGAGCAACGCCGCGUGAGUGAUGAAGGGUUUCGGCUCGUAAAGCUCUGUUGUUAGGGAAGAAACAGUACCGAACGAACUAGGUCGGUACCUUGACGGUACCUAACCAGAAAGCCACGGCUAACUACGUG
rnacentral:rRNA from 1 species